ACAGAGCUGAGAGCCACUUCCAAGCUCAAGAGGAACAUGAGCUUGAAGCUGUGGGGAAGAAAGCCUGGGACAAUCCAGUUUACAAUGGGUCCCCCUCUAGCUCCCUGAAGAUCCGAGCCAUCUACAACCCCAAGUCCAUCCUGGAGAACCCCUAUGAGAAUAUUGAUAAGGUGGGCGACUCCCUUCCCUACCCAGAGGAAAGAAAUAAGUCUGAGGAGGUAAAGAAGAGCUCUAUCCCCAGAUGCUGCUUGUAUGUCUUCAGAGGAAUCCGAGGGCUUUGGGGUACAACCUUGACUGAAAAUACAGCUGAAAACAGAG
rnacentral:lncRNA from 1 species